rnacentral:misc_RNA from 1 species
GAUGAAGAACGUAGCGAAAUGCGAUAAGUAAUGUGAAUUGCAGAAUUCAGUGAAUCAUCGAAUCUUUGAACGCACAUUGCGCCCGCUAGUAUUCUGGCGGGCAUGCCUGUUCGAGCGUCAUUUCAACCAUCAAGCCCUGCUUGUGUUGGGGUCCUGCGGCUGCCCGCAGGCCCAGAAAACCAGUGGCGGGCUCGCUAGUCACACCGAGCGCAGUAGCACAUCUCGCUCAGGGCGUGCGGCGGGUUCUUGCCGUAAAACACCCCCUUUUUACCAAGGUUGACCUCGGAUCAGGUAGGAAUACCCGCUGAACUUAAGCAUAUCAAUAAGCGGAGGA